GAGGAUUUAGCUCAGUGGUAGAGUGCUUGCCUAGCAAGCACAAGGCCCUGGGUUCAGUCCUCA
rfam:Rattus norvegicus chromosome 12, whole genome shotgun sequence.